rnacentral:rRNA from 1 species
UACAGAGGUGGCAAGCGUUGUUCGGAAUUACUGGGCGUAAAGGGCGCGUAGGCGGCUUGGUCAGUCCCGUGUGAAAUCCCUCGGCUCAACUGAGGAACUGCACGGGAAACUGCCUGGCUUGAGUUCGGGAGAGGGAAGCGGAAUUCCGGGUGUAGCGGUGAAAUGCGUAGAUAUCGGAAGGAACAUCAGUGGCGAAAGCGGCUUCCUGGACCAGCACCGACGUCAGGCACGAAAGCGUGGGGAGCAAACAGG